rnacentral:rRNA from 1 species
UACGGAGGGAGCUAGCGUUGUUCGGAUAUACUGGGCGUAAAGCGCACGUAGGCGGCGCCGUAAGUCAGGGGUGAAAUCCCGGAGCUCAACUCCGGAACUGCCCUUGAAACUGCAGUGCUAGAAUCCUGGAGAGGCGAGUGGAAUUCCGAGUGUAGAGGUGAAAUUCGUAGAUAUUCGCAGGAACACCAGUGGCGAAGGCGACUCGCUGGUCUUUUGCUGACGCUGAGACGCGAAAGCGUGGGGAGCAAACAGG